rnacentral:rRNA from 1 species
UACGUAGGGGUCGAGCGUUGUCCGGAGUUACUGGGCGUAAAGCGCGUGUAGGCGGCUUGGCAAGUCGGAUGUGAAAGCCCACGGCUCAACCGUGGAAGCGCAUCCGAAACGGCCUCGCUCGAGUCUCGGAGAGGAAGGUGGAAUGCUUGGUGUAGAGGUGAAAUUCGUAGAUAUCAAGCAGAACACCUGCGGCGAAGGCGGCCUUCUGGACGAUGACUGACGCUGAGACGCGAAAGCGUGGGGAGCAAACAGG